UAACUACUCCCUCUGAUCCAUAUUAAUUGUCGAAAUAUUUCAUGUAUCUAGACACUUUUUAGGCAUAGAUACAUCCAUAUUUGGGCAAAUUUGAGACAAUUAAUAUGGAUCAGAGGGAGUACUGA
rfam:Brachypodium distachyon strain Bd21 chromosome 2, whole genome shotgun sequence.